UACAUGGGGUGCAAACGUUGCUCGGAAUUAUUGGGCGUAAAGCGCGCGUAGGCGGUUACUUAAGUCGGAUGUGAAAGCCCUCGGCUUAACUGAGGAAGUGCAUCCGAAACUGAGUAGCUAGAGUACGAAAGAGGGUCGCGGAAUUCCCGGUGUAGAGGUGAAAUUCGUAGAUAUCGGGAGGAACACCGGUGGCGAAGGCGGCGACCUGGGUCGAGACUGACGCUGAGGCGCGAAAGCGUGGGGAGCAAACAGGA
rnacentral:rRNA from 1 species